GCUCAACCAUAAAUGACUUAGAAGAAAUAGAAUUAGAAAUUGCCAGAGAUAAGAAUAAAUUCGAUGAAUUGAUUGCCGUACUUUAUUUGACAGGAAGAGAACAAGUACAAAAAACGGUAUACGCAAUUUUAAAGAAAUUGUUGAUGAACCAAGUUACUGUAAAGUUUUCAGGGCAGGGAAGAAAAAGUAAACUGCCUUUUAAUGAGCUCACAGUUAAUAAGGCUGUAAUAUGCGCCACACGAAAACGCCACAAAAAUGCCACGGAUACAGAAAUAAAAAAAGCGGUAGGACUCUAUCUGGCUCAAGCAAAG